rnacentral:rRNA from 1 species
GGUUAAGCGACUAAGCGUACACGGUGGAUGCCCUGGCAGUCAGAGGCGAUGAAGGACGUGCUAAUCUGCGAUAAGCGUCGGUAAGGUGAUAUGAACCGUUAUAACCGGCGAUUUCCGAAUGGGGAAACCCAGUGUGAUUCGUCACACUAUCAUUAACUGAAUCCAUAGGUUAAUGAGGCGAACCGGGGGAACUGAAACAUCUAAGUACCCCGAGGAAAAGAAAUCAACCGAGAUUCCCCCAGUAGCGGCGAGCGAACGGGGAGCAGCCCAGAGCCUGAAUCAGUGUGUGUGUUAGUGGAAGCGUCUGGAAAGGCGCGCGAUACAGGGUGACAGCCCCGUACACAAAAAUGCACAUGCUGUGAGCUCGAUGAGUAGGGCGGGACACGUGGUAUCCUGUCUGAAUAUGGGGGGACCAUCCUCCAAGGCUAAAUACUCCUGACUGACCGAUAGUGAACCAGUACCGUGAGGGAAAGGCGAAAAGAACCCCGGCGAGGGGAGUGAAAAAGAACCUGAAACCGUGUACGUACAAGCAGUGGGAGCACGCUUAGGCGUGUGACUGCGUACCUUUUGUAUAAUGGGUCAGCGACUUAUAUUCUGUAGCAAGGUUAACCGAAUAGGGGAGCCGAAGGGAAACCGAGUCUUAACUGGGCGUUAAGUUGCAGGGUAUAGACCCGAAACCCGGUGAUCUAGCCAUGGGCAGGUUGAAGGUUGGGUAACACUAACUGGAGGACCGAACCGACUAAUGUUGAAAAAUUAGCGGAUGACUUGUGGCUGGGGGUGAAAGGCCAAUCAAACCGGGAGAUAGCUGGUUCUCCCCGAAAGCUAUUUAGGUAGCGCCUCGUGAAUUCAUCUCCGGGGGUAGAGCACUGUUUCGGCAAGGGGGUCAUCCCGACUUACCAACCCGAUGCAAACUGCGAAUACCGGAGAAUGUUAUCACGGGAGACACACGGCGGGUGCUAACGUCCGUCGUGAAGAGGGAAACAACCCAGACCGCCAGCUAAGGUCCCAAAGUCAUGGUUAAGUGGGAAACGAUGUGGGAAGGCCCAGACAGCCAGGAUGUUGGCUUAGAAGCAGCCAUCAUUUAAAGAAAGCGUAAUAGCUCACUGGUCGAGUCGGCCUGCGCGGAAGAUGUAACGGGGCUAAACCAUGCACCGAAGCUGCGGCAGCGACGCUUAUGCGUUGUUGGGUAGGGGAGCGUUCUGUAAGCCUGUGAAGGUGUACUGUGAGGUAUGCUGGAGGUAUCAGAAGUGCGAAUGCUGACAUAAGUAACGAUAAAGCGGGUGAAAAGCCCGCUCGCCGGAAGACCAAGGGUUCCUGUCCAACGUUAAUCGGGGCAGGGUGAGUCGACCCCUAAGGCGAGGCCGAAAGGCGUAGUCGAUGGGAAACAGGUUAAUAUUCCUGUACUUGGUGUUACUGCGAAGGGGGGACGGAGAAGGCUAUGUUGGCCGGGCGACGGUUGUCCCGGUUUAAGCGUGUAGGCUGGUUUUCCAGGCAAAUCCGGAAAAUCAAGGCUGAGGCGUGAUGACGAGGCACUACGGUGCUGAAGCAACAAAUGCCCUGCUUCCAGGAAAAGCCUCUAAGCAUCAGGUAACAUCAAAUCGUACCCCAAACCGACACAGGUGGUCAGGUAGAGAAUACCAAGGCGCUUGAGAGAACUCGGGUGAAGGAACUAGGCAAAAUGGUGCCGUAACUUCGGGAGAAGG